GAUGAACGCUGGCGGCGUGCCUAAUACAUGCAAGUCGAGCGAACGGACGAGAAGCUUGCUUUUCUGAUGUUAGCGGCGGACGGGUGAGUAACACGUGGAUAACCUACCUAUAAGACUGGGAUAACUUCGGGAAACCGGAGCUAAUACCGGAUAAUAUUUUGAACCGCAUGGUUCAAAAGUGAAAGACGGUCUUGCUGUCACUUAUAGAUGGAUCCGCGCUGCAUUAGCUAGUUGGUAAGGUAACGGCUUACCAAGGCAACGAUGCAUAGCCGACCUGAGAGGGUGAUCGGCCACGCUGGAACUGAGACACGGUCCAAACUCCUACGGGAGGCAGCAGUAGGGACUCUUCCGCAAUGGGCGAAAGCCUGACGGAGCAACGCCGCGUGAGUGAUGAAGGUCUUCGGAUCGUAAAACUCUGUUAUUAGGGAAGAACAUAUGUGUAAGUACCUGUGCACAUCUUGACGGUACCUAAUCAGAAAGCCACGGCUAACUACGU
rnacentral:rRNA from 1 species